UGGGACAGGAGCAGGGGCAGGGGCAGCAGAAGGGAGCUCUGACGGCUGCAUCCAUGGGACAGGGAAAACCUUUGCUUGAGAGCCCCUGACAGUCCUGCUCAUGGAUAUGCAGUACGAGGGCCCCGGGAGAUGGCACAGUAAGUAAGAGUGUUUGUUCUGCAAGCCAGGGGCACUGAGUUCAAAUCCCCAGCACCGAAGUGAAGAGGUGGAUGUGGCCGCACACACCCACGAUGCCAGCCUUGGGAAGCAGAGGCAGGCGAAUCUCAAAAGCCCAGACUCCACCGUCCUAGCCAACGCAAAAGCUUUCUGGCCCUGUGAGAGACCCUGUCUCAAGGUAAUAAACUGGAAAAUAGUAGAGGGAGACACCUGAUGCACCCACACGUUCACAUGCAGACACAUGACUCCCUCGACUCUAGUUUCUUAUGAAGAAAUCUCCAGCAAGUGGAUGAGAACUCUUUACCAUGGGGAAGGUGACAAACAUUAGCUUUGGAUAACUGAGUGUGGCGAUAGACCUGUGGUCCUCACCCUUCCUCAGGCUGCGACCCUUUAAUACAGUGCCUCAUGUUGCAGUGACCCCAAUCAUAACAUUAUUUUAGUUGCUACUCCAUAAUUGUAAUUUUACUAUUAUUCUGACUCGUGAUGUAAAUAUCUGAUAUGCAGGAUAUCUAUCUGAUAUGUGAACACGGUGGGGACUGCAAGCCACGGGUUGAGAACCACUGUGCUAGACAGCCUCAAAUGCAUCCUUUCUCUCUCUGUCUCUCUCUGUCUCUGUCUCUCUCUCUCUCUUUCUGUGCUGGACCUCAAGCAUGUUAAGUAUGCACUCUACCACCGAGAUACACCCCUCCCUCUCCAAAACUCCAUCCUCUCAUUUUAAUGUGUCUAUCACUUCAGAAUUUGAAGGGACUUUUCUAGAAAUUUUCUAGGAGAAAGGUGUGUGGACUGGGCAGUGCAGGAGGAAGAUGGAAACCAGAAGCCCUCAGCAUCCCAAGCUACACGAUGCCAUGUCAAACUAGAGUGACUCCUGAAACAAGCGGGUGUCUCCAGUAACUGAAAAGAAGAAGAACUGAAACAGCAGACAGGGACAGAGGGGUUGCCUCAGGUUCUGCCAGGAAGGAGCUGCUGAGCUCCAGGAAACCGGUGCUGAGGGAGUGUCAAGACAGGACGCCCCUCUCCACCCUCCAAUUCCCACCAGAGGCCUCUCUUGUGACUAUUGGACGCUGUUCCUUUAAAAGCAGCCACUCCUCCCGGCAACUAGGGUGUACAUGGGGGGUGAGAUGGAGGGAAGCUGACAGACUUACCCCAGCAAUUAGGGAAGAUGGCCCAGGCUGGAAGAGUCGCUCCCAAGCCCUACUGUCCCCUUCCCUAAGCCAGCGGGUCUGGGGAGGAGGGGGAACCUUCCCACCCCAGGCGCCACACGAGAUGGCUCCGUGGCCUCACAGAAACGGCUCUCUGGCUUUGUGGUCGGACGCCCCUACCCUGGACCCCAGUGCAGCCAACACCAGUGGGUUGCCAGGAGUACCAUGGGCAGCGGCAUUGGCUGGGGCAUUGCUGGCGCUGGCCACGGUGGGAGGCAACCUGCUGGUAAUCAUAGCCAUCGCCCGCACGCCGAGACUACAGACCAUAACCAACGUGUUCGUGACUUCACUGGCCGCAGCUGACUUGGUAGUGGGACUCCUCGUAAUGCCACCAGGGGCCACAUUGGCGCUGACUGGCCAUUGGCCCUUGGGCGAAACUGGUUGCGAACUGUGGACGUCAGUGGACGUGCUCUGUGUAACUGCUAGCAUCGAGACCUUGUGCGCCCUGGCUGUGGACCGCUACCUAGCUGUCACCAACCCUUUGCGUUACGGCACGCUGGUUACCAAGCGCCGCGCCCGCGCGGCAGUUGUCCUGGUGUGGAUCGUGUCCGCUGCCGUGUCCUUUGCGCCCAUCAUGAGCCAGUGGUGGCGUGUAGGGGCAGAUGCCGAGGCACAGGAAUGCCACUCCAAUCCGCGCUGCUGUUCCUUUGCCUCCAACAUGCCCUAUGCGCUGCUCUCCUCCUCCGUCUCCUUCUACCUUCCCCUCCUUGUGAUGCUCUUCGUCUAUGCUCGAGUGUUCGUUGUGGCUAAGCGCCAACGGCAUUUGCUGCGCCGGGAACUGGGCCGCUUCUCGCCCGAGGAGUCUCCGCCGUCUCCGUCGCGCUCUCCGUCCCCUGCCACAGGCGGGACACCCGCGGCACCGGAUGGAGUGCCCCCCUGCGGCCGGCGGCCUGCGCGCCUCCUGCCACUCCGGGAACACCGCGCCCUGCGCACCUUAGGUCUCAUUAUGGGCAUCUUCUCUCUGUGCUGGCUGCCCUUCUUCCUGGCCAACGUGCUGCGCGCACUCGCGGGGCCCUCUCUAGUUCCCAGCGGAGUUUUCAUCGCCCUGAACUGGCUGGGCUAUGCCAACUCCGCCUUCAACCCGGUCAUCUACUGCCGCAGCCCGGACUUUCGCGACGCCUUCCGUCGUCUUCUGUGUAGCUACGGUGGCCGUGGACCGGAGGAGCCACGCGCAGUCACCUUCCCAGCCAGCCCUGUUGAAGCCAGGCAGAGUCCACCGCUCAACAGUUCCCUUCUUCGGGAACCCAGGCAUCUCUAUACCUGUCUGGGAUAUCCAUAGACAGCAAUGGACUUCCCUAGUCCUCGGCCUCAGUCCCGCUCUCUCUCAAAGGUUUGAUGGCUAUGAAGGUGCGCGUCCGUUUCCCACGUGAAGGGCCGUGAAGAUCCAGCAAGGAAGCUAGUGAGUCCCCUGGAACCUCAACUCUCCAACGCUCCAGAACCGAUGACUAGACCACGAGGUGUAAGGGAAAUCUUACCAAAUGGGUUUCACCGUCCUCUCUCUCUUUCCGAGAGAAGUUGUCUAAGACCCACCUUGAACUUCACUACUACCUCAGCAGCUGGGACGGCAGGCCACCUGUGCUUGACGGCCCUGGGAGGAGCCCUAUGGCCUUGGAGGCCUGCCAGUCCCUGCCUAUGUUUGUGCUGUAUGCUUAGGGAAAAGAGAGCACCCCUCCCUCCCUUUCUUCCUACUGCUUUCCUAACCCUGAUGAUCGACAUGUUCCUCCACAAAUCACUCUGUCUCCAGGCUCUGUGUCUCUGGUUAGUUUGAGAGCAGGAAUCCAGGAAAAAAAAAAA